rnacentral:rRNA from 1 species
GCAGUCGAGCGGGCGUAGCAAUACGUCAGCGGCAGACGGGUGAGUAACGCGUGGGAACGUACCUUUUGGUUCGGAACAACACAGGGAAACUUGUGCUAAUACCGGAUAAGCCCUUACGGGGAAAGAUUUAUCGCCGAAAGAUCGGCCCGCGUCUGAUUAGCUAGUUGGUGAGGUAAUGGCUCACCAAGGCGACGAUCAGUAGCUGGUCUGAGAGGAUGAUCAGCCACAUUGGGACUGAGACACGGCCCAAACUCCUACGGGAGGCAGCAGUGGGGAAUAUUGGACAAUGGGGGCAACCCUGAUCCAGCCAUGCCGCGUGAGUGAUGAAGGCCCUAGGGUUGUAAAGCUCUUUUGUGCGGGAAGAUAAUGACGGUACCGCAAGAAUAAGCCCCGGCUAACUUCGUGCCAGCAGCCGCGGUAAUACGAAGGGGGCUAGCGUUGCUCGGAAUCACUGGGCGUAAAGGGUGCGUAGGCGGGUCUUUAAGUCAGGGGUGAAAUCCUGGAGCUCAACUCCAGAACUGCCUUUGAUACUGAAGAUCUUGAGUUCGGGAGAGGUGAGUGGAACUGCGAGUGUAGAGGUGAAAUUCGUAGAUAUUCGCAAGAACACCAGUGGCGAAGGCGGCUCACUGG